GUGGGGAAUCUUCCGCAAUGGACGAAAGUCUGACGGAGCAACGCCGCGUGAGUGAUGAAGGUCUUCGGAUUGUAAAGCUCUGUUAAUCGGGACGAAAGAGCCUAGUGUGAAUAAUGCUAGGAAGUGACGGUACCGGAAUAGAAAGCCACGGCUAACUACGUGCCAGCAGCCGCGGUAAUACGUAGGUGGCAAGCGUUGUCCGGAAUUAUUGGGCGUAAAGCGCGCGCAGGCGGAUCUGCCAGUCUGUCUUAAAAGUUCGGGGCUUAACCCCGUGAUGGGAUGGAAACUACAGAUCUAGAGUAUCGGAGAGGAAAGUGGAAUUCCUAGUGUAGCGGUGAAAUGCGUAGAUAUUAGGAAGAACACCAGUGGCGAAGGCGACUUUCUGGACGAAAACUGACGCUGAGGCGCGAAAGCUAGGGGAGCGAACGGGAUUAGAAACCCGUGUAGUCC
rnacentral:rRNA from 1 species